CUGGUCUGUGGCAACUUCCCUGUGGCAUCCAUGUGUGUACAAUGCUACAUGCCUGACUGCAGGUAGAGUCCUUGCCCUCCUACCCUGUCAACCAAAGAUCCAGCAAGUGAAUGAGAAGCAUGGAGACAUGAGAAACAGAAGCCCUUGCCUUCCAGGUGGUUGGAGGUAAAUAUGAUGGAUCUAGGUGAAACGUGCUCGUUCAUGCUGUGUCUCUAAGUUCCAUGGAGACUGGAUGGUAAUUAUAUGGAUGGAUUGAUCCAUAACCCUGACAGUCAGGGAAAAAUGGAGAAAAUAUCAAAAGUGAAUGAUGUCAACUUGAUAAUGCAGAAUUCACCCGGGGAGUUGCUUUUGCCAGGUCAUCUUUAUAGCAAGAGGAAAAGAAACUAUCACAGAAGGGAAGAGGGGCAGCAAGAGAGAAGCUAGAACUUUCUUGGCCGAAAAUUAUAAUGAAUUAGGUAAAAACCAAAGAAUAAAAAGCCAGGUCCUCAAAGGCAUUGAGCCAAUCCUCCUCCUUCAGAAGACUUCCUUGCGUUUGGCAGAAGACCUAUGGACGGAACUCACCACAGGGUGUGGGUUAGACUGGGAAGUGGAACUGAGGAACUAGUUAGCUUUUGUCACUUCACGGGGUUUCCUCCUGCAAGCUCCUCCCUGCGGAUUACCCCUGGCACCCCAACCUACCCCAUCCUCAAAUGUGUUGCUGCUGCCCCCUGCUGGAUGAACCCUGUCAGACCCCCCACACACACACACACAACCCCUACUGGAAGGCCGCCAUUUUCCACAUGCAGGCAGGAGCUGUAGGAGGCAGGCAGGCAGUAAAAUAGUAUUUAAACAUAGCCAGAGACCAAAAUAAAUCCGUUCUGGAAAAGGUCUGAAACCUCUGGCUAGUAAUCAAUAU
rnacentral:lncRNA from 1 species